rnacentral:tRNA from 1 species
GGCCCCGUGGCGGAACUGGUAGACGCGACGGAUUCAAAAUCCGUUUUCUUCGGAAGUGCCGGUUCGAGUCCGGCCGGGGCCACCA